rnacentral:rRNA from 1 species
AGUGAACGCUGGCGGUAGGCCUAACACAUGCAAGUCGAACGGAAGCACCGUAAGAGCUUGCUCUUCUGGGUGGCGAGAGGCGGAAGGGAGAGGAAUAUAACCGAAUCUACUUUUUCGUGGGGGAUAACGAAGGGAAACUUAAGCUAAUAUAGCAUAUGCCCUACGGGUGAAAGCAGGGGAUAUUCGCACCUUGCGCGAAUGAAUGAGCCGAUGAUGGUGUAGCUAGUUGGCGGGGUAAAGGCCAACGUAGGCGCGGAUACGUAGCUGGAGGGAGAGGAUGGUCAGCGGCAUGAGAACUGGAACAGGGUCCAUACGCCUACGGUAGGCAGCAGUGGGGAAUAGUGGGCAAUGGGCGCAAGCCUUGUCCAGCCAGACCGCGUGGGUGAAGGAGGCCUUCGGUGUGUAAAGCCCUUUUGUUGGGAAAGAAAAGCAGCAGGUUAAUACCCCGCGGGUCUGACGGUACCCAAAGAAUAAGCACCGGCUAACUUCGUG